AGCUCAGCGCAGAACCUUCUGGGCCACCAGGCCUGAGGAGGGAUGUUGCGUAAAGGGAAAGGCCGCAGUUAAGCCCUUCAGCCACGUGCACCCUAAGUGUGCCUCGAAUAGGCAAGCCCAACUAACGGAGGGUUUUGUCUCCACGGAGGGUGUCAGACCCGUGUGGGCACGUGCAGAUGCUGGGUGGGUUCGGCCUGUGUUCCCUGAGAGUCGCGUUGCUUGGGAAUGCAGCGCUAAGCAGGUCGUAAACUCGAUCUAAGGCUAAAUAUUUCCACAGGACCGAUAGUGAACAAGUACCGUGAGGGAAAGUUGAAAAGGACUCUGAAGAGAGAGUCAAAAGACCGUGAAACCGCUCACAGUAUAAGCCGAUGGAGNCUGGAAGGCAUUCGGUAAAGGUGCUCACCCGUUAGGGUGGAAGUGAAUCCCUUGGGUCCAAUGACUAAGGUUCGCCAGGUGUGCGCCACNGCGCGCACCGACGUGCCUGAUUUCAGUAUCGAGACUUUCCGAUCUCGCUUGCUGUUGUCAUCAGCACGGGCGCUCAAAGUCUGCUGGACCUAGCCGAUUUUGCCCACCACGACACGUUAUGAGGUCACCCGCAGGCUCUACAGAUGCCGUUGCGAGUUCUUGUCCGAGGGUCCAGAUUCGUGUCGGAGAAGUCCCAGCUCGGAGGAAGGAAUCUCCUCAGCUGGGAUGACACGAGAGCUCGAGGGCUUGAAACGGGCGGCAGCCAGAGGUAAACCUGGUACGAUCCUCUUAUGACGAGUCGAUAUCUGGCCAGUAACGACGCACGCACCCCCUCAUGUGCCGAGGGGAGUAGCCAAAGGCUGGCCGUUUGCGCCCUCUGGUA
rnacentral:rRNA from 1 species